rnacentral:rRNA from 1 species
UACGUAGGGUGCAAGCGUUGUCCGGAAUUAUUGGGCGUAAGAGCUCGUAGGCGGCUUGUCGCGUCGGCUGUGAAAACCUAGGGCUCAACCUGGGCCUGCAGCCGAUACGGGCAAGCUAGAAUUCGGUAGGGGAGACUGGAAUUCCUGGUGUAGCGGUGAAAUGCGCAGAUAUCAGGAGGAACACCUGCGGUGUAGACGGCUUUCUGGACCAUUGUUGACGCUGAGACACGAAAGCGUGGGUAGCAAACAGG